rnacentral:rRNA from 1 species
UACGUAGGUGACCAGCGUUGUCCGGAUUUACUGGGCGUAAAGAGCGCGCAGGCGGUCGUUCAAGUCGAGUGUGAAAGCCCCCGGCUCAACUGGGGAGGGUCACUCGAUACUGAUCGACUCGAAGGCAGGAGAGGGAAGCGGAAUUCCCGGUGUAGUGGUGAAAUGCGUAGAUAUCGGGAGGAACACCAGUGGCGAAGGCGGCUUCCUGGCCUGUUCUUGACGCUGAGGCGCGAAGGCUAGGGGAGCAAACGGG